rnacentral:lncRNA from 1 species
ACUGUCGCGCUGUUCUCGGACCAAACUGAGAGUGGGGCGGCUAUUUCUCGGGGCCCAAUGACGAGAUGCAGAUGAACUGAGGAGGAAGAGCGUUUUUAUUUUCUGCAACUGGUUACAGGGAGAAAGGCCUGGAAAUGAUCACCGGACCAACUCAAAAUUACAGUUUUCCAGAACUUACAUACCUUCUAAGCGGUAUGUCUACGUGGCCUUGCUGUGUCACCCAGGCUGGAGUGCAGUGGUGUGAUCAUAGCUCACUGUGAGGCAGGAAAUUAAGGAAAGAAAGAAUAAUAAAAUUUUAAAAAGAGAAAAAUAAGCUUUCUAUAUUAGGCUGACUCAUCCCAAAGGCAGUAACAGACAAAGCCCAGACCCAGACGAAGUCUUGAUAACAUCAUCAAAGAAGCAGAGGCUCAAAGGAGUGUGCUCUGGAGACUCUCCCAGCACUCCCUCAACAUAAGGAUAAGAAAAAGUUCCCCCUCGAACCCCAACCCCCUCCAUGUGAUUGUACCUUGCUCUGCAAGUUUUAUGAAUUUAUAGAUUCUUGUUUUCUGUAACUAGAAACUUCAAGUAUUCUGUUUUAUCUAAGCAGCACAGUGAAGGUUAUACAACAUGCCUGAGCAGGCCUGGGCUGCGGCCUUCUGGGCCCCAUAGCGAAGGUUAUGAGAUAAGCCUGUGCAAGGCUCUUUUAAGCAAGCCUAGAUAACAGCCAUCUGGACUGCAUAGCAAGAAUUACAUGUAACCCUGGGUUAUGCACCUGUCACAAUUUGAUUAACUGCCUAUGUUCUGUCUCUGUAUCCUUGCUUUCAUGCCACUGUAAGCUUGUUUCAAACUAGCCCACUCCCGUUCAAAGGUGUGUAUAUGAGUCAAGUGCUGUCUUUGUUCUGGGCCCAGUUUUUGGAUGUUAAUCCACUGGGUCUGAGUGCACUCAAUAAAAUUCUCAUGUCCCACCUACCUGUCUCUCCAGUCUCCUGAUUCCCACAACAACCGCAGCCUGUAGCUGGGACUACAGCUACAUUCUUUAAAUUUUGUAGAGAUGGGGUCUUGCUAUGUUGCUCAUGCUGGUCUCCUACUUCUAGCCUCAAGUGAUACUCCCACCUCAGCCUUCCAAAGUGCUGUGAUUACAGGCGUGAGCCACCAUGCUGGGGCACUUCACCCAGCCUUCUUGCUAGUUCUUGAUUUCAAGGGUGAAGGGGCAGGUU